AGAACGAACGCUGGCGGCAUGCCUAAUACAUGCAAGUCGAACGAACUCUUCGGAGUUAGUGGCGCACGGGUGCGUAACGCGUGGGAAUCUGCCCCUUGGUUCGGAAUAACAGUUGGAAACGACUGCUAAUACCGGAUGAUGACGAAAGUCCAAAGAUUUAUCGCCAAGGGAUGAGCCCGCGUAGGAUUAGCUAGUUGGUGAGGUAAAGGCUCACCAAGGCAACGAUCCUUAGCUGGUCUGAGAGGAUGAUCAGCCACACUGGGACUGAGACACGGCCCAGACUCCUACGGGAGCAGCAGUAGGGAAUAUUGGACAAGUGGG
rnacentral:rRNA from 1 species